rnacentral:rRNA from 1 species
UACGGAGGGUGCAAGCGUUAUCCGGAUUCACUGGGUUUAAAGGGUGUGUAGGCGGGCAGUUAAGUCAGUGGUGAAAUCUCCAGGCUCAACCUGGAAACUGCCAUUGAUACUAUCUGUCUUGAAUUCUGUUGAGGUGGGCGGAAUACAUCAUGUAGCGGUGAAAUGCUUAGAUAUGAUGUAGAACACCGAUUGCGAAGGCAGCUCACUAACAGACGAUUGACGCUGAGGCACGAAAGCGUGGGGAUCAAACAGG